UUUCACUCUCUCAGGCCGGGCUAGCGAUCCGGUUUCCUAUCCUUCAAUGACGGUGGUGGCAGUGCCUCAGAGUCUGUCGCGCUGUGACCUGCGGUGGUCGUGGGAGGCGUAGGAAGGAUUCAGAGAGACCCAGGAAACCUAGAAAUGGACUCAGUGACCUUUGAGGAUGUGGCUGUGAACUUCACCCUGGAGGAGUGGGCUUUACUGGAUCCUUCACAGAAGAAACUCUACAGAGAUGUGAUGCGGGAAACGUUGAGGAACCUGGCUUCAGUAGGAGAAAAAUGGGAAGAUCAUGACAUUGAAGAUCAGUACAAAAACCAGGGGAGAAAACUAAGAAGUCAUGUGUUAGAGAGACUCUGUGAAAGUAAAGAGGGUAGUCAGUGUGGAGAAAACUUCAGCCUUAUUCCAAAUCUCAAUCUGAACAAGAAAACUACUGGAGUGAAACCACGUGAGUGCAGUACAUGUGGAAAAGUCUUUACGCGUCAUUCAUCCCUUAAGAGACACAUGAGCUGUCACAAUGAACAUAAACCAUAUGAGUAUCAGAAACAUGGAGAGAAGCCAUAUAAAUGUAAGGAAUGUGGUAAAGCCUUUAGCUAUUUCCAGUUUUUGGAGGCACAUGAAAAAAAUCACAAUCGAGAGGAAAAAUACAAAUGUAAGGAAUGUGGAAAAGCAUUCCAUUCCCGCGCAUCCUUUCAAACACAUGAAAGGAUUCACACAGGAGAAAAACCCUAUGAAUGUAAGGAAUGUGGGGAAGCUUUCAUGUGGAGCACAGCGUUUCGAAGACACAUGGUAACACACACCAGAGAUGCUCCAUUUACAUGUAAGGAAUGCGGGAAAGCUUUUAAUUGUUCCUCUUCAUUGCGAACACAUGAAACAACUCACAGUGAAGAGAAACCCUAUCAGUGUAAACAAUGUGGAAAAUUCCUUAGAUAUUAUCAUACUUUUCGAACACAUGAAAGGACUCAUACAGGAGAGAAACCCUAUGAAUGUAAGCAGUGUGGUAAAGCCUUCAGUUGUCCCAGUUCUUUUCGAAAACAUGAAAGAAUUCAUACUGGGGAAAAGCCUUAUGAAUGUAAGGAAUGUGGGAGAACCUUUAGAGGUCUCUCAAGCCUUCGCGCACACAUGAUCACUCACACUGGAGAUGGACCUUAUAAAUGUAAGGAAUGUGAGAGAGCCUUCAUUUCUCCUAGUUCUUUUCGAAUACAUCAAAGGAUUCACACUGGAGAGAAACCCUAUGAAUGUAAACAAUGUGGUAAAGCCUUCAGUUAUUACAAUUCCUUACAAUCACACAGAAGAACUCAUACUGGAGAGAAACCCUAUGAAUGCAAGGAAUGUGGGAAGGCCCUCUCCCAUCACCAAACCUUAAAAAUACACAUGAGACUGCACACUGGAGAGAAACCCUAUGAAUGUAAACAAUGUGGUAAAGCCUUCAGAUAUUACCCUUCUUUUCACAAACACAAACAAAUACAUACUGGAGGGAAACCCUUCGAAUGUGAACGAUGUGGUAAAGCCUUCAGUUAUUACAAUUCCUUACAGUCACACGGAAGAACUCAUACUGGAGAGAAACCCUAUGAAUGCAAGGAAUGUGGGAAAGCCCUCUCCCAUCACCAGACCUUAAGAGUACACAUGAGACUGCACACUGGAGAGAAACCCUAUGAAUGUGAACAAUGUGGUAGAGCUUUCAGAUAUUACACUUCCUUCCAAAAGCACAAAAGAGUUCAUACUGAGAAGAAAUUCUAUGAAUAAGGAAUAUGGAAAAGCCUUUAGUUGAUCAACUUCACUUUGAAAACAUGAAAGAAGCCACACUGGAGAGAAAGCCUGUCAGUGUAAACAAGGUGGGAAAGCCUUCAGAUAUUUUCAAAGUUUGAAAACACAUGAAAGGACUCCCAUAGAAGAGAAACCUUGUAAGCAAUGUGGUAAAUCCUGCAGAGAUUACACUUCAUUAGAAACGCGCAAAAGAUAGUGAAGAGAAACCCUGUGACUGUAAGGAAUGUGGAAAAGCCUUCAGAUGUUAUCAGUUUUUUCUGAAGAUGUGAAAAAGAUCAGAGUGGAGGGAAUGUGGUAAACCCUUCAUUUGUCACAAACCAUUUGAAGACACGUGAGAACACACACUGGAGAGACACCAUAUAAAUGUAAAGAAUGUUGGAAAGCCUUGUCAUCCCAGUUCUGAAAGGAUGAAAGGACUCACUGGACAAAAACUCUUGAGUUAAACAGCCUGGGAAAGAUUUCAGUGAGCCCACAUCUUUACAUGUGAAAAAGAAUAUAAAUUGCACCUUUGGACAGUGGAUUUCUAGUAAUUACUCUCAGAAAUGAAUACAAGUCAACGAAUACCUUUGAUGAAGGUGGUGUGUGACAUUUUUCUCUUCACCAGGAAAAGACUUGGCCUUGCAAAGAAUGCAGGACAGUUCCCUGUCCUCUGGAACAGCUUUUGCCUUUCCUACUUGUUAUCCAAACACUGAUGUAUUUCCUACAGUGUAUUAGACACCCCUUACUAUAAAGUUCAAGUGUUUUUUAAUAUCUCAUUUAUGGCUCACCUGAUGUUUGUAAGUUUAUGUAAUUUUUGAGAGAACACAUACCUAGCAAGAGAGAAAGACAGGACCACUGUU